GAGCGGCGAACGGGUGAGUAACACGUGAGUAACCUGCCCUUCACUUUGGGAUAACCCUCGGAAACGGGGGCUAAUACCGGAUAUGACUUCUGGUCGCAUGGCUGGGGGUGGAAAGUUUUUCGGUGGGGGAUGGGCUCGCGGCCUAUCAGCUUGUUGGUGGGGUGAUGGCCUACCAAGGCGACGACGGGUAGCCGGCCUGAGAGGGCGACCGGCCACACUGGGACUGAGACACGGCCCAGACUCCUACGGGAGGCAGCAGUGGGGAAUAUUGCACAAUGGGCGGAAGCCUGAUGCAGCGACGCCGCGUGAGGGAUGACGGCCUUCGGGUUGUAAACCUCUUUCAGCAGGGACGAAGCGCAAGUGACGGUACCUGCAGAAGAAGCGCCGGCCAACUACGUGCCAGCAGCCGCGGUAAGACGUAGGGCGCGAGCGUUGUCCGGAUUUAUUGGGCGUAAAGAGCUCGUAGGCGGCUUGUCGCGUCGACUGUGAAAUCCCGUGGCUCAACUGCGGGUCUGCAGUCCGAUACGGGCAGGCUAGAGUUCGGUAGGGGAGACUGGAAUUCCU
rnacentral:rRNA from 1 species